UAAUAAAGACAUAAAAAGAGCCGGUGUGCUACCACCAGCCCUUCUAUGUAGAGCCGUUGAAGACGGUGACGCAGUUUGGAUUAUUUAAUA
rnacentral:sRNA from 1 species